AAUAGCUUCCCCAAUCACCAAACCUAAAACAUCUGUGCGGGAGAGAAAGAAAAAUUGAAAACCCAUCUUCAGAAACUUUCGUCUCCCAAAACCCUAGAGUUCCUACUCACUCAUGCUUAAACCCUUAUAAAUAUAUACAAAGGUCAAGCAGAUCCGAGGAUACUUAGGUAUUUUCAAAUAAAAGGAUGUUGGGGUCAUUGCCAAUAUUGCCCCUUCCAGCACCGCCAUCAGAUGGAAAUUUAGGACCGCUUCCAUUAUCUCAAGUUACUGCUGAAGACUCACCACCACAUGACAAUGUUACUCCUCCUCCUCCACCAGCAUCUGUUGCUACACAUACAAGAACGAUAGGUAUUAUUCAUCCUCCUCCGGACAUUCGAACAAUUGUUGAUAAGACUGCGCACUUUGUUGCGAAGAAUGGGCCUGAUUUCGAGAAGAGGAUUAUUGCAAAUAAUGCUGGAAAUGCCAAAUUCAAUUUCUUGAAUGGUUCUGAUCCUUAUAAUGCAUAUUACCAACAUCGGUUGUCUGAAUUCCGUGCCCAAAAUGAGCUAACCCCACAAGCUGAUGAUUCCUCUGGACAAGAGGUAGUACCGAGUGCUGAUUCUGCUGGAGAUGCUAAUGAAUUAGCUGAAACUAAGCCUGAUCCGUCAGCCCAGUUUAAACCUGUCCGAAAAGUUCUUGUGCCCCCGGAACCUGAGACGUAUACAGUUCGGCUACCGGAAGGUAUUACAGGUGAAGAGUUGGAUAUUAUCAAGCUUACUGCUCAGUUUGUUGCUAGAAACGGGAAAUCGUUCUUGACAGGUUUGACUAGUAGGGAGAUUAAUAACUAUCAAUUCCAUUUUCUAAAACCUACUCAUAGUAUGUUUAUGUUCUUUACUGCACUUGCGGAUGCCUAUUCAAAGGUUUUGAUGCCUCCGAAAGGUUUGACGGAGAAACUUCGUAAUAGUGUGGUGGAUAUGACCACUGUUCUUGAGAGGUGUUUGCAUAGACUUGAGUGGGAAAGGUCACAGGAACAAGCUAGGUUGAAAGCUGAAGAUGAGAUUGAACAGGAACGCAUGCAGAUGGCGAUGAUUGAUUGGCAUGAUUUUGUUGUGGUUGAGGCAAUUGAUUUUGUAGAUGAUGAGGAUGAGGAUUUGCCUCCUCCGAUGACAUUGGAGGAAGUUAUUAGAAGGAGCAAGAUAACAUCUAUGGAUGAAGAUGUGGUACCUGUUGAGCCUGGAAAGGAGGCAGAUAUGGAGAUGGAUGAAGAAGAAGUGAAACUUGUUGAGGAGGGUAUGAGAGCGGCUAGUAUGGAUGAUAAUGACAAUGAGAAGAAGCGUGAAAAUAAAUCAGCAGCUUCCGAGGAGCCAGAAGCGCCAAUGAGAAUCGUAAAGAAUUGGAAGAGACCGGAAGAGAGGAUCCCAGCAGAAAGAGAUCCCACAAAGUUUGUUGUUUCUCCAAUUACUGGAGAAUUGAUUCAUAUAAGUGAAAUGGCAGAGCAUAUGAGGAUUUCCCUAAUUGAUCCAAAGUACAAGGAACAAAAAGAGAGGAUGAUGGCUAAGAUUCGGGAGACCACUCUUGCUCAAGAUGAUGAGAUAUCAAGGAACAUUGUGGGUCUUGCUCGAACACGUCCUGAUAUUUUUGGAACGACAGAAGAAGAAGUAUCUAAUGCUGUUAAGGCAGAGAUUGAAAAGAAGAAAGAGGAGCAACCUAAGCAGGUCAUAUGGGAUGGCCACACAGGAAGCAUUGGUAGAACCGCAAACCAGGCAAUGUCACAGAGUCUCGAGGAUCAAAUGGAGAAUGGUAACAAUUUACCUGGUCCUGCUGCACCUCCUCCAAAACCUGGUGUGCCAUCAGUUCGUCCUCUACCUCCACCACCAGGGUUAGUGUUGAAUAUGCCUAGAAUGGGGCAAAAUACAAUGCAAUACCCUAAUAGCGGACAGUACAUGCAGCCUAGACCUCCUAUUAUGCAGAAUAUGCAGGGAGUUAGGGCUCCUCUUCCUCCUAUGACGAUGAACCCUGGUCCGCCUAUGAUGAUGAACCGACCACCCCAACAAGUUUCCGUGAACCCUUCAAGUAUACCUCCUCCUCCUGGGUCACUCUACCCACCUUUGGGAAUGCCUAGGCCCUUCUCACACCUUCCACCUCCACCUAUGCAAGUGAUGCCACCACAAAUGAUGCCGCCACCACCACCACCACCGGAGGAAGCUCCUCCUCCACUUCCUGAGGAACCAGAGCCAAAAAGGCAAAAGGUUGAAGAUCAGCUUAUACCAGAAGCGCAGUUCUUGGCUCAACAUCCGGGACCUGCCCGCAUUGUUGUAGCUAUUCCGAAUGUGGAUGAAUUGAACCUUAACGGACGACUUUUGGAGAUUACCGUACAAUCUCUAUCCGAGACUAUUGGUAAUUUGAAGGAGAAGAUCGCUGGGGAGACUCAGAUUGCUGCAAACAAACAGAAACUGAGUGGGCGAGGUGGUGUUGUCCUUAAGGAUCAUUGGUCACUCGCACAUUGGAACAUCGGAGCUGGGGAAACUCUUACCCUUGCUUUUAAAGAACGUGGUGGCAGAAAGAGAUAGAUCAUUUUCCUUCCUUACAUGCAGAGUUGGGGUUUAAUAUUCAGUUUACUUACUACUAGAUGAAAGUAUCCAGUUGAAAAUGUUGUGCAACAUGUAUUCUACCUUGUUUUAUUCCUGUUGUUUUAGAUCUUUGAUAUGAUUCAUAUCUAGAUCUGCACCAGACUAUUAUUUUGGUUUAAACUGAUAGCAAGUCUGGCAUAUACUACAGAUGCGGUGCCUAGGUGAUUAUCUUUCAGCGUCGACAUGGAAAGUCACAAGUUCAUUGUGCUUAUGGAGACCAAGUUUGUGCUUAAAUAACCAUCUUCUGCUGCUUUCGUUUUAGAAGGGACUCUAAUGCCAGUACAGGAGAAAGGAGCUUCCUUCGUGUGCAAUGGGUUCUUGUUUUUGGGACAAAUAUGUCUUUUCGUUUGGCAUAGGAUUUAUGAUGUUCUACUUUUAACAAAUUGUAUCUGGUUUGAAUUAAGUAAAAGAAGAAUGGUUAGCUAUAGUACAGGUCUAUUUUUGGACCAGGCAUCCUGUUGGAGCAACUUAAUUUUGUCAGCACUCGGAGCUGUGCCAACGGAACUGAUGUAGACUAGGUUUGAAAUACCCAAUUUCAUUUUCCUACUUCAGUUCCCUACACUUUUGUGUCAUUGGAAAUAAAUUGCUCUCCCAGAAUAAGGGUUUGGAGUUUUGCAACCUUAUCCUAGGUUUUCUCCCUA